GACGAACGCUGGCGGCGUGCUUAACACAUGCAAGUCGAACGGAAAGGCCCUGCUUUUGUGGGGUGCUCGAGUGGCGAACGGGUGAGUAACACGUGAGUAACCUGCCCUUGACUUUGGGAUAACUUCAGGAAACUGGGGCUAAUACCGGAUAGGAGCUCCUGCUGCAUGGUGGGGGUUGGAAAGUUUCGGCGGUUGGGGAUGGACUCGCGGCUUAUCAGCUUGUUGGUGGGGUAGUGGCUUACCAAGGCUUUGACGGGUAGCCGGCCUGAGAGGGUGACCGGCAACUUGGGGAUGGAGAUACGGCCCAGACUCUACCGGGGGGCAGAGGGGGGGAAAAUGGCAAAAUGGGCGGAAGCCUGAGGCAGCAACCCCGGGGGCGGGAGGAAGGCCUUCGGGUGGUAAACGGCUUUCGCUGGUGACGAAGCGUGAGUGACGGUAAUGGGAAAAGAAGAACCGGCUAACUACGU
rnacentral:rRNA from 1 species